UACGUAGGGCGCAAGCGUUAUCCGGAAUUAUUGGGCGUAAAGAGCUCGUAGGCGGUUCGUCGCGUCGGCUGUGAAAUCCCGAGGCUCAACCUCGGGUCUGCAGUCGAUACGGGCGGACUGGAGUACUGCAGGGGAGACUGGAAUUCCUGGUGUAGCGGUGAAAUGCGCAGAUAUCAGGAGGAACACCGGUGGCGAAGGCGGGUCUCUGGGCAGUUACUGACGCUGAGGAGCGAAAGCGUGGGGAGCGAACAGG
rnacentral:rRNA from 1 species